CCUUCGAUAGCUCAGUUGGUAAAGCGGAGGAAUGUAAAUCCUUCGGUAGCUGGUUCGAAUCCGGCUCGAAGGA